GUGGUCGCUUUGGCAGCACAUAUACUAAAAUUGGAACCAUACAGAGAAGAUGAGCAUGGCCCCUGGGCUAGGAUGACACACAAAUUUGUGAAGAGUUCAAUAUUCUU
ensembl:snRNA U6 U6 spliceosomal RNA